GGAGUUUGGGCCGUGUCUCAGUCCCAAUGUGGCUGAUCAUCCUCUCAGACCAGCUAGAGAUCGUCGCCUUGGUGAGCCUUUACCUCCCCAACUAGCUAAUCCCUCCUGGGCACAUCUAUAAGCGCAUGGUUUCCCAUCCUUUUCCCCUCAGGGUUUAUGCGGUAUUAGCACCCGUUUCCAGGUGUUAUCCCCCUCUUAUAGGCAGUUUCCCAGGUAUUACUCACCCGUCCGCCACUCGUCAGCCAGAAAAGCAAGCUUUCCUGCUGCUACCGUUCGACUUGCAUGUAUUAAGCCUGCCGCCAGCGUUCAAU
rnacentral:rRNA from 1 species